UCGGAGCAAGAGUACUUUCAUUGCUUCACGGUACUUUUUUUUACCUAAAAUAUAAGUUUACAUGUUAAAAUAAUUGUAAAAAUUAUCAAAAAUUGUUUUUAAAUCGCGCAUCGCCAUGAACUUCAUCAAUUAGUUCGGAUUUGCGAUGAAAAUUAAAGGAAAAAGUGCUAAAACUAGAUGAAUCGGGGUGAUUUCAUCCAAUUUUUUGUUCCGUGGCUUUCCAGUUUUCUAUAUUAAUACAACUACAUGCACACACAUAUGAACAUAGUGUCCACAAAUAAAAUUAAUAAUAUAAAAAAAAUUAUUACUUUAGUAAUAAAUUCACAUAUUGUAAUAAGUGCAUGCGAGUGAUUCGCUUCUAUUUACGUAAAAAUUAUAGAAAUUAAUCGAUUGAUUGGACCAGUGAGAGAAAAAAAUCGAAUGUAAAUAAAAAAGUGAAAUAAAGGAAAGCACAUCAACACACACCAUCACACAAAAGCAGAAUGGAUACCAUUGGAAAACAAGGAGUGAGUGCGAUUGUCGAACACGAUUACAGUGCACGUGAAGACGAUGAAUUAACGCUUGUCAAAGGUGCCAUCAUCACAAACAUAAAAAUCAAGCCAGGCGGCUGGUGGGAAGGUUCCAUCGCAUCCACAGGAAAAACAGGAAUGUUUCCAGAUAAUUUUGUCAGAGUUUUAGAGCCGGACGACAAGAAUCCAGUUGUACUGAGAGACAAAUCCGCGACAAUCGUGCGACGAUGUAAAGUUGUCUACAGUUAUCAGGAGAACAAUAACGACGAAUUAUCCUUGGGUGUCGGUGAUAUCAUUGAAGUAUUAGGAGAGGUUGAAGAAGGCUGGUGGCGCGGAAAACUUGGAAACAAAAUCGGCGUCUUUCCCUCGAAUUUCGUCGAAGUCAUCGAAAAAGUCUCUCCCGUAUCGGCAAAUCGCAAAAGUAUUAACAACACAACGAAUUCUGGCACAAACAGUCUGCUACGCGGCAGUAAAUCCAGUUUAAAUAGCUCACGAGAGGAUCUCUUGUCAAAUGCAUCACACGACUCUUAUGAAGCUCCAUCAUUGCCUCCCAAGCCAAUUCGCGAAUUGUGCAAAGUAUUAUUUGCAUACCAGCCAGCAAAUGAGGACGAAUUGAAAUUAGUGGAAGGCGACGUCAUCACAGUCAUUAACAAAGAAUUGCCAGAUAAAGGUUGGUGGAAAGGCGAAUUACGGGGACGGAUAGGCGUUUUUCCAGACAAUUUUGUGCAACUGCUUCCGCCAGAAGUGUCAUCGCCAUUAAAAGACACUUCAUCGAAGCCGGAUCGUCCGCCGCUCACGGGAAAAGCCUUAGGAAACAAGCAAAACAGCGCGUACGGCUCCAAAGACUCGCUCACCGACAAGCCUGUCUUCGGCAACGUGGCUGCUCACCGAAAAUCCUUGGAGCAUAAAGUACAAGAUACCUCCGCUGCGGAAAAACCUCCACGCAAAAGCCUGGAAUCCAAAACUGACGUUCGUAAAAGUUUGGAAAAUGUCGACGAUAAAAAGGGAACACCGCCAGCUGUCAGCAAAAAACCCGUCGUUCCGAUCAAAAAAUCACCCUCGAUCACGAGUGUCACGAACAAUUUAUUCUCUGGCCUCAAGCAAAAAGUGAAAGGAGUGGAAAAUAAAUUGACUCACGACUCAGCAGAUGGCGGUGUCGGCAGCAAAUCCAGCUACCAACUCACAGAUGGCAGUGAAAAAGGCGUAACUGGCGAGAAAAUUACGCGAAACGACACCGAAUUCGAUCAAGUUGAACGAAGCACGAUUUUGUCUGACAUGCGUGCGAAUCGGGCAAAAGCUCCGCGUCGUCGUCCGCCAUCGUCGGGCGUCGGAUCUCUCGGCGAUUCCACGGGAUCCAUGAAUGGCAGCACCGAAAAUCCGCCAGAUUCGCCGCGUCACGACUCGCUAACGACCCCUGGCGGCGCCGAAGAGACUGAAGUUUUGGUGAAACCCCGCGCACGCGAAUGGGAAAAGCACCGAGCGCCCUGGAUGGAGGAGCUGAAAGCUAGUCAAGCAAAGAAAACAUCACCGGGCCACUUGCCCGAAGCGCGAUCUCCGGACCCCACGACCAACAAUGUCGAGGGCACGUCAUUCGACAUGUCAAAAUCGUACAGUAGCUCGUUCGUGAGUGGCACAAAAAAGGCGGAAACAGCGACAACGACGACUUCGGUGGCCGAAUUGCGAGCCCAUAGCAUCGAAAAGUCCUCGGAAAUGGCGAAAAGUAUGUCGUCGAUUGGUGCUCGCAUCUCCAUCAACAACAACAACAACGACACGAAUCACAUUGCCACCAGUAGCUCGAACGACAAGCUGCUCGACGUACACGAAAAAAGUGCCUCUGUACUUAUCAGCCGGAGUAUUUCGCCGCUCGGCAGAAAAUCACUGCAACCAUCACCGCAACAUCGCACGACAACGACUACGACAACCAGCAAUUCCGAUGACCGGAUCACCGAAUUGGAGGAACGUUUGACGCGCCUCGAACAAACUGUCUACAAUCAAAACAAUACCAUCGACGAACUAACCAAGUUGCUCAACGAGGAAUCGACCAAGGUGAAAAUUCUGAAAAUGCAGUUAGAGAAAUAUGCACAAUGUGUCACACAGUCCCAGGAUUCAUUAAAAAUUGUAAAAAUCAAGUAAAAAUUAUUUCCAAUUAACAAAAAAAGGCGCAGCAAUCGUCGCAGCAACACGGAGGGCUUCGUGUGAUAUGGCAUCAAGUAAUCGUGCUAGAUUACCACUGAUACCAUCUAUUACAACAACAAAAACGACAACUUCAGGUAAUAAUCUGCGGCAUGUAGAGCAACAGCAGCAACAACAACAGCAAUUACAUUCACAAUCGCAUCCAACAAUCAAUUAUCCGCCAACGGUCGAGCAACGCAUCAUUCAGCAAAAGCAAGAUCAUAACUUUAAUGUUCUAAAUACGUUCAGUGAUAAGGAGAGACAAAUUGUUAUUGAUGCAUUAAGUCGUGAUGAGGGUGCACGUCAACGUGAAGCAGCGAGAUUAAUGUUGCUUCGCUUCGAGCUACACAGACUCAGUUUGAGACGCAAACGCAGUAUUAUCUUGCGCCACUCACACGACAAACAACCAGCCAC